CCCGCUGAACUUAAGCAUAUCAAUAAGCGGAGGAAAAGAAACUAACAAGGAUUCCCCUAGUAACUGCGAGUGAAGCGGGAAAAGCUCAAAUUUAAAAUCUGGUGGCCCUUGGUCAUCCGAGUUGUAAUUUAGAGAAGCGUCUUCCGCGCUGGACCAUGCACAAGUCUCCUGGAAUGGAGCGUCAUAGAGGGUGAGAAUCCCGUCUUUGGCAUGGAUGCACCAGGGCUUCUGUGAUGCGCUCUCGAAGAGUCGAGUUGUUUGGGAAUGCAGCUCAAAAUGGGUGGUGAACUCCAUCUAAAGCUAAAUAUUGGCGAGAGACCGAUAGCGAACAAGUACCGUGAGGGAAAGAUGAAAAGCACUUUGGAAAGAGAGUGAAACAGUACGUGAAAUUGUUGAAAGGGAAACGCUUGAAGUCAGUCGCGUCGACCGAGACUCAGCCUUGCCUUGGCUUGGUGUACUUCUCGGGUGACGGGUCAGCAUCAAUUUUGGUCGGUGGAUAAAGGCUCAGAGAAUGUGGCAUCUUCGGGUGUGUUAUAGCUCUGGGUUGUAUACAUCGGCUGGGAUUGAGGACACUCACCACGCCGCAAGGCCGGGUACUUGUACCACGUACGUGCUUAGGAUGCUGGCAUAAUGGCUUUAAUCGACCCGUCUUGAAACACGG
rnacentral:rRNA from 1 species